UUAAAAUCAGCACAGUCUAUGAACUGCUGCAAAGCCUCUAUACGAUAUCCAGUUUUCAUUUGUUCCUCGGUCGGGAUGCGUCUCGGCUUCAGGCCGCAG